rnacentral:lncRNA from 9 species
GUGGCUGGUCCCUUGUAUGCUGGCCACAUUCUCUCUCUCCCAGCCCUCUUGGGGGCUCAUGGCAGAUAACAGGCAGAGGAAGAUGUGCUGCAUUUUCCAGGACUCUCCAUUUUCUUCAUUAUCUUCAAAAUGAAGGUCUCUGGAUCAACAUGAGCACUAUCAAAGGAACUGCAUCCAAGGAACCCCACCUACAUGUGAAUCUGAUUUAGAUGAUGAGCCCUUGGACUUGGAAACUGGUGCUGUAAUUGACUGAAAAUUCAGGGUUCUUAUGAGAGGAAUGCUGCCCUGAGCCCACCAUGUAAGGAAGCCAGCUGAGCACACUGGGAGAUUAAAAGUCACAUGAAGGACAACCAAAAUGCCCCAGCUGACAUCUAGCCCUAGACAUGUGAAUGAGGCUAUCUUGGAACUUCCAGCCCAGCUAAGCCUCCAUCUGAAUGCAGCCGAAUGAAUGAGCCCUGGGGGAAAUGCAGAGAUGACUUUCCCAGCCAAUCCAUAUAAUCAUGAAAAAUAAUAAAUCAUUUUUUUUGUUUAUUUUUUUUAGGGCAGCACCUGUGGCAUAUGGAGCUUCCCAGCUAGGGGUCAAAUCGGAGUUGCAACUGCUGGCCUAUGCUCACAGCAGAGCUCACAGCAAUGCCGGAUCCUUAACUCACUGAGCAGGGCCAGGGAUAGAACCUAUGUCCUCAUGGAUACUAGUUGCAUUCAUUACCACUGAGCCACAAUGGGAACUCCUAAAUCAUUGUUUUUUAAGCCACUAAAUUGUGGGGGUGAUUUGUUACAUGGCAAUGGAUCUAGUGUUCAUGAAUCUAAGGAAAGAGCUCAAUUAUUUAUAAGAAGAUUCAAUGGCUUAAUCCUUUUUUAUAAAGACAAUUUGUAAACAUUUGGAUAGAUAAAAAUUUUGGUCCAUGCACCAUCAGAAAUACACACAUUCUUCAUUUCCUUUAAAGUAACCUAAUGAUGAUGAUGUGUCUUCAUCCUACGAGGGUAAUGGAAAAUUCCAUUUCAGUAAUUAUUGAGUCUCCUUUUCCUCUUCAGGAUCUCACUAGCAUCUGGAGAUUAAUGUGGUACCUGGAAAAUAGGGGAGGGUGUCUAAUUGCCAAUCUGUCAUGAUUGCUGCUGAUGCCUAAGCCCCUCAGCCUCUGUCUCUGUGGUCCCCUGAUGUUCCUCUGCUGAGAGAACACAAAUUUCUGCUCAGGGGCCCUAGUGGGUACCACUUUCUUCAGGGGAACCACAAGUAGCCCUGCUGGCUGCUAAGCCCCCUCAAAGUCAUUCUUUUUUCUCUGUGUUUUUCAAGUUUCAGAUUAUUUAUUAAUCAUUGUAAACCCCAACAAAAUACACCAACAUGAUUUUGUGCAUUUAGAGGAGAAAUAUUUCCUGGUUAAGUGGGAAAUGGUGUGGAUAGCUUUUGGAAGACCUUUAUUCUGAGCAGCUUUAUAGUGAAACAUUUCAUUUAAAGGCCUGGACCCUAUUUCUUCAGUUUGCUGUAAUCUACAUUCACUGAGUAGAACUUGUAUUGAUCACUGGGACUCAGUUUGUUUCAAGGUUCUGAGUCUUUCUUUCCCUUCCUUUCUUCCUUCUUUCCUCUCUCUCUCUCUCUCUGUCUCUCUCUCUCUGUCUCUCUCUCUCUGUCUCUCUCUCUCUGUCUGUCUCUCUGUCUCUCUGUCUCUGUCUCUGUCUCUGUCUCUGUCUCUCUCUCUCUCUCUCUAUCUCUCUAUCUCAGCCAUCCACAGCAUAUGGAAUUCUCAGGCCAGGAAUCAGAUCCAAGCAGCAGUUGCAACCUAUGCCACAGCUUUGCCAAUGCAGGAUCCUUUAACCCACUGUUCUGGGCAGAAGAUGGAACCUGAGUCCCAGUGCUUCAGAGGAGCCACCCAUCCCAUUGCACCACAGCAGGAACUCUUGGGUUAUACUUUCUGUCCCAGCUGACAUCUGGAUUGAACAAUUCCAGAUGUAAGACAUACAAUGCUGCUCCAACAUCCUUUGCACCAAUAAAUACGAAGAGGGGGAUCAGCUAGGAUGCUCCUUGGCCUGACUGAUGAUAUAGUGGAGCAUGGUUGUGACAAACUCAGGUCCAGACAGAGAGGAAGAUUAACCUGCAAGGCCUAGGACUGAGCAGUCUCUGCCCAUUCUUCUCUUUUCUUGAAAGAUUGCACAUGUUCAUAGCUGAGUAGCUCUAUUGUCUGGUUUCCUGCCUAUAGAAUCCCAGAAGUCAAUAGUGUUCCUUCAUUUCGUGCCAUCUCUGUUCUCUUUGGCCCAAGCUGGUAGUGUUUCUGGUGGUAUAACAUCCUCAAAAUCCUCAUGGGAUCCAUGUCAUGACACAUGAAAAGUUCCCUAUAGUCUAUUGUUGACUUCUACUGAGAUGGUUAGUUGGACCAAAGAGUUACACACCAAAUCUCUUGAGUAGAAGGU